UACGUAGGGUGCGAGCGUUGUCCGGAAUUAUUGGGCGUAAGGGGCUCGUAGGCGGUCUGUCACGUCGGGAGUGAAAACUCAGGGCUUAACCCUGAGCCUGCUUCCGAUACGGGCAGACUAGAGGUAUGCAGGGGAGAACGGAAUUCCUGGUGUAGCGGUGAAAUGCGCAGAUAUCAGGAGGAACACCGGUGGCGAAGGCGGGUCUCUGGGCCGAUACUGACGCUGAGGAGCGAAAGCGUGGGGAGCGAACAGG
rnacentral:rRNA from 1 species